CUGGGCAGCUCGCACCUGCAAAGAAUCUGGUAACUUCUGUGAGACGGACGGAAGGUGUGGUAUAGCCCGCUGAAAAGCUGGAGCUGAGAAGCAAACCUAUCCUCUCACAACUACAUGCUACGAUGGACUGAUCCAUGAAGGUGUCAUACACGCGGCUUCGCUAGCCAGACCACCGAGACAGUCCGCUUGAGUUUGGGUCGCUCCCAGGGGUUUUAAAUGUACCCUGCAUGAAAAUCACAUCUACUGUGGGUGAAAGAUUCCCACGUUGAGUCCCGGUCAAGAGCCACGGUCACGACACCCCCCAGGCAAUGACGCACUGAAAAACGUGUAUGAGUUUGGACGAGAGUGCGUGUAUGUGCGAGAGCUUCGUGAUGUGAAAACCUAGCGAGUACAUAUUGCCGCCUGAGCCAAGAGUCAUACCUUUGAGAAAUUUAAGGAUGGACGCGCCAUGAGCUGAAACACGCCAUGAGCAAAGAGCUAGCCAGCUGAGCAAGCUGCAGAGCCACCGACUUCGACAAGAGCCGCCUAGUUUACCUACCUGAGCAAAGUUGCCCGAGCCAUCGAUGCCAGCGCCGCCCCAAAGAGCCAACUGUCGAGAGACGGCCAGGUACAAGCCGAGAAGCUGCCGCGAGCAAGCUGAGACGCGCUAGAGCAAAGAUCUGCACUGACAGACGCCACUUUGAGAAAAAGUGGUCAAAAGAGCCUCUGCCAUAAGCCAGGAUAGAGCUGUGAGUCCGAGCCAUUGACGCCAGAACCAUGGCCACCAAAGUGCAGAGCAGAUUGCAACGCCAGAGCCAAGAGUCCGAGCCAUAGACGCCAGAACUAGAGCCAGAGCAUACAGGAGCCAGAGUGAAGAGCCGGUAAGUCCCACGAGGCAAUAAGGGCCAAAAACCAGAGUGCCCUCAAAGAACUAAGAGCAAAGAGCCAGUAAGUCCAUGAAGCAAUAAGUGCCAAACGCCUAGUUUUUUUUCCUUUCGUUUCUUUCAUCCAGUCAGAGCAAAGAGCCAGUGAGUCCGAAGAGCAAUAAGUGCCAAACGCCAAAUUCUGUGAGCCGGAGCAAGAGCCAGUGAGUCCCAUCGAGGCAUUAAGAGCCAAACGCCCGUGCUAUUUGAUUGAUUGAUACGCGGAGCAAAGAGCCAGUAAGUGCAUAGUUCCAAUAAGUGCCAAACGCCCGCGAGACAUGGAGCAAUGUGAGCCAGAGCUGAUACAGAGCCAGAGCCCUUGGCUAGGAGCCAGAGCCACAGACCAGAGCCAUAACAUUGUCACCGUGAAAAUGUUGCAAAUGUCGAACAACACACGACUCAGAUGUGUUUUUGAGGAUGUAAGCAGUUGAACCUCUGAGACGAGGAUGUAGGCUGACUGAACCUCAAUAUCUAGUUGAAGGGGAUUAGGCCAUGGGCCGAACCUCUUGGGUUAAUAAAUCUUGGACCAAUGAGUCCCACCCGAUAUUGA
rnacentral:misc_RNA from 1 species